CCUUUCUUUCGCCUUGCAACGGGAUGGGAUCCGAAGCUUCCUUAAGAUUGCAUCCAACUCCUAUUCCGACACGUCCACGUCGUGCAGGGUGGUACCAUGGGCCAAAAUCCAACCGCCAGAAUGGACGAAGGCUCAUGACAAAGGAAGAAGUG
rnacentral:ribozyme from 1 species